rnacentral:rRNA from 1 species
UACGGAGGGGGCUAGCGUUGUUCGGAAUUACUGGGCGUAAAGCGCGCGUAGGCGGACCUGCAAGUCGGGGGUGAAAGCCCGAGGCUCAACCUCGGAACUGCCUUCGAUACUGCGGGUCUCGAGUCCGGGAGAGGUGAGUGGAAUUCCUAGUGUAGAGGUGAAAUGCGUAGAUAUCUGGAGGAACACCGGUGGCGAAGGCGGCAUCCUGGACCGGUAUUGACGCUGAGGCGCGAAAGCUAGGGGAGCAAACGGG